rnacentral:rRNA from 1 species
GUAGGGAAUAUUGCGCAAUGGACGAAAGUCUGACGCAGCGACGCCGCGUGAGUGAUGAAGGCCUUAGGGUCGUAAAGCUCUGUUGAAUGGGAAGAAAAAAAUGACGGUACCAUUCGAGGAAGGACCGGCUAACUUCGUGCCAGCAGCCGCGGUAAUACGAGGGGUCCUAGCGUUGUUCGGAAUCAUUGGGCGUAAAGGGUGUGUAGGUGGCCAUGUAAGUCAGGUGUGAAAGCCCCGGGCUCAACCCGGGAAGUGCACUUGAUACUGCGUGGCUUGAGUACCGAAGAGGGUAGUGGAAGUCCAGGUGUAGUGGUGAAAUACGUAGAUAUCUGGAGGAACACCGGUGGCGAAGGCGGCUACCUGGUCGAGUACUGACACUGAGACACGAAAGCAUGGGGAUCAAACAGGAUUAGAAACCCGUGUAGUCC